rnacentral:sRNA from 1 species
UUGAGGAUGAUAGAGCUGGGGUAUCUGUCAACCCACUGAUUGCCAGAGUCCGUGUGACUAAUAUGGCUGGUUUGAUGUCCUCUUCCUCACUCAUCACAUAGUGCGGAAUUCUGAAAUUCUGUGCCUGGUCAGAGAGAAUGAUGUUCCCUGGUAGAGAAGAACUGUUCUUCAAUCUAAAGCAAGCUGUCACAGUACUCCCCUGCAAGAAACUUUGUACCAGUUAAACUAUUACUGGUGAAUUUAAGCAGAAAGUGGGGAUUAUUUUAAGGG